rnacentral:ncRNA from 1 species
AAUCGGCGUACAUCAGAGGGACGUGUCCCUGAAUGAGGAGCCGAAGGGAGCAAGCCACAGCAAAAGCGUUUGGUCAGAAAGUUUACUUCCUUAUCAAACGGAAAGCUGAAACAUCAAGUGUCGGGUAGAGUUUGGUAGGCUUCGGCUCGAAGAACUUAGACCCG